UACGUAGGGUGCAAGCGUUAAUCGGAAUUACUGGGCGUAAAGCGUGCGCAGGCGGUUCUAUAAGACAGAUGUGAAAUCCCCGGGCUCAACCUGGGAACUGCAUUUGUGACUGUAGAGCUGGAGUACGGUAGAGGGGGAUGGAAUUCCGCGUGUAGCAGUGAAAUGCGUAGAUAUGCGGAGGAACACUGAUGGCGAAGGCAAUCCCCUGGACCUGUACUGACGCUCAUGCACGAAAGCGUGGGGAGCAAACAGG
rnacentral:rRNA from 1 species